rnacentral:rRNA from 1 species
AUGAACGCUAGCGACAGGCUUAACACAUGCAAGUCGAGGGGCAGCACAGGUAGCAAUACCGGGUGGCGACCGGCGCACGGGUGAGUAACGCGUAUGCAACUUACCUAUCAGAGGGGGAUAACCCGGCGAAAGUCGGACUAAUACCGCAUGAAGCAGGGGCCCCGCAUGGGGAUAUUUGCUAAAGAUUCAUCGCUGAUAGAUAGGCAUGCGUUCCAUUAGGCAGUUGGCGGGGUAACGGCCCACCAAACCGACGAUGGAUAGGGGUUCUGAGAGGAAGGUCCCCCACAUUGGUACUGAGACACGGACCAAACUCCUACGGGAGGCAGCAGUGAGGAAUAUUGGUCAAUGGGCGUAAGCCUGAACCAGCCAAGUCGCGUGAGGGAUGAAGGUUCUAUGGAUCGUAAACCUCUUUUAUAAGGGAAUAAAGUGCGGGACGUGUCCCGUUUUGUAUGUACCUUAUGAAUAAGGAUCGGCUAACUCCGUGCCAGCAGCCGCGGUAAUACGGAGGAUCCGAGCGUUAUCCGGAUUUAUUGGGUUUAAAGGGUGCGUAGGCGGCCUUUUAAGUCAGCGGUGAAAGUCUGUGGCUCAACCAUAGAAUUGCCGUUGAAACUGGGGGGCUUGAGUAUGUUUGAGGCAGGCGGAAUGCGUGGUGUAGCGGUGAAAUGCUUAGAUAUCACGCAGAACCCCGAUUGCGAAGGCAGCCUGCCAAGCCAUGACUGACGCUGAUGCACGAAAGCGUGGGGAUCAAACAGGAUUAGAUACCCUGGUAGUCCACGCAGUAAACGAUGAUCACUAGCUGUUUGCGAUACACUGUAAGCGGCACAGCGAAAGCGUUAAGUGAUCCACCUGGGGAGUACGCCGGCAACGGUGAAACUCAAAGGAAUUGACGGGGGCCCGCACAAGCGGAGGAACAUGUGGUUUAAUUCGAUGAUACGCGAGGAACCUUACCCGGGUUUGAACGCAUUCGGACCGAGGUGGAAACACCUUUUCUAGCAAUAGCCGUUUGCGAGGUGCUGCAUGGUUGUCGUCAGCUCGUGCCGUGAGGUGUCGGCUUAAGUGCCAUAACGAGCGCAACCCUUGCCACUAGUUACUAACAGGUAAAGCUGAGGACUCUGGUGGGACUGCCAGCGUAAGCUGCGAGGAAGGCGGGGAUGACGUCAAAUCAGCACGGCCCUUACAUCCGGGGCGACACACGUGUUACAAUGGCGUGGACAAAGGGAUGCCACCUGGCGACAGGGAGCGAAUCCCCAAACCACGUCUCAGUUCGGAUCGGAGUCUGCAACCCGACUCCGUGAAGCUGGAUUCGCUAGUAAUCGCGCAUCAGCCAUGGCGCGGUGAAUACGUUCCCGGGCCUUGUACACACCGCCCGUCAAGCCAUGGGAGCCGGGGGUACCUGAAGUCCGUAACCGCGAGGAUCGGCCUAGGGUAAAACUGGUGACUGGGGCU